rnacentral:rRNA from 1 species
CUGAGUAAAGUGGCGCACGGGUGAGUAACACGUGAAUUAUCUACCUCCGAGUGGGGAAUAACUGAGAGAAAUCUCAGCUAAUACCGCAUAACACUUACGAGUCAAAGCAGCAAUGCGCUUGGAGAGGAGUUCGCGGCCGAUUAGUUAGUUGGCGGGGUAAUGGCCCACCAAGACGAUGAUCGGUAUCCGGCCUGAGAGGGCGCACGGACACACUGGAACUGAAACACGGUCCAGACUCCUACGGGAGGCAGCAGUGGGGAAUUUUGCGCAAUGGGGGAAACCCUGACGCAGCAACGCCGCGUGGAGGAUGAAAUAUCUUGGUAUGUAAACUCCUUUCGAUGGGGAAGAUUAUGACGGUACCCAUAGAAGAAGCCCCGGCUAACUUCGUG